UUACUACUACCUUCGUUCGAAAAUACUUGUCUUUGAAAUGGAUAAAAAGGAUGUAACUAGAACUAAAAUACGUCUAGAUAUAUUUAUCUUUUGGACAAGUAUUUCCGGACGGAGGAAGUACAUU
rfam:Triticum aestivum genome assembly, contig: Triticum_aestivum_CS42_TGACv1_scaffold_252403_3DL